rnacentral:rRNA from 1 species
AGAGUUUGAUCAUGGCUCAGAUUGAACGCUGGCGGCAGGCCUAACACAUGCAAGUCGAACGGUAACAGGAAGCAGCUUGCUGCUUCGCUGACGAGUGGCGGACGGGUGAGUAAUGUCUGGGAGGCUGCCUGAUGGAGGGGGAUAACUACUGGAAACGGUAGCUAAUACCGCAUAAUGUCGCAAGACCAAAGAGGGGGACCUUCGGGCCUCUUGCCAUCGGAUGUGCCCAGAUGGGAUUAGCUUGUUGGUGGGGUAACGGCUCACCAAGGCGACGAUCCCUAGCUGGUCUGAGAGGAUGACCAGCCACACUGGAACUGAGACACGGUCCAGACUCCUACGGGAGGCAGCAGUGGGGAAUAUUGCACAAUGGGCGCAAGCCUGAUGCAGCCAUGCCGCGUGUAUGAAGAAGGCCUUCGGGUUGUAAAGUACUUUCAGCGGGGAGGAAGGGAGUAAAGUUAAUACCUUUGCUCAUUGACGUUACCCGCAGAAGAAGCACCGGCUAACUCCGUGCCAGCAGCCGCGGUAAUACGGAGGGUGCAAGCGUUAAUCGGAAUUACUGGGCGUAAAGCGCACGCAGGCGGUUUGUUAAGUCAGAUGAGAAAUCCCCGGGCUCAACCUGGGAACUGCAUCUGAUACUGGCAAGCUUGAGUCUCGUAGAGGGGGGUAGAAUUCCAGGUGUAGCGGUGAAAUGCGUAGAGAUCUGGAGGAAUACCGGUGGCGAAGGCGGCCCCCUGGACGAAGACUGACGCUCAGGUGCGAAAGCGUGGGGAGCAAACAGGAUUAGAUGCCCUGGUAGUCCACGCCGUAAACGAUGUCGACUUGGAGGUUGUGCCCUUGAGGCGUGGCUUCCGGAGCUAACGCGUUAAGUCGACCGCCUGGGGAGUACGGCCGCAAGGUUAAAACUCAAAUGAAUUGACGGGGGCCCGCACAAGCGGUGGAGCAUGUGGUUUAAUUCGAUGCAACGCGAAGAACCUUACCUGGUCUUGACAUCCACGGAAGUUUUCAGAGAUGAGAAUGUGCCUUCGGGAACCGUGAGACAGGUGCUGCAUGGCUGUCGUCAGCUCGUGUUGUGAAAUGUUGGGUUAAGUCCCGCAACGAGCGCAACCCUUAUCCUUUGUUGCCAGCGGUCCGGCCGGGAACUCAAAGGAGACUGCCAGUGAUAAACUGGAGGAAGGUGGGGAUGACGUCAAGUCAUCAUGGCCCUUACGACCAGGGCUACACACGUGCUACAAUGGCGCAUACAAAGAGAAGCGACCUCGCGAGAGCAAGCGGACCUCAUAAAGUGCGUCGUAGUCCGGAUUGGAGUCUGCAACUCGACUCCAUGAAGUCGGAAUCGCUAGUAAUCGUGGAUCAGAAUGCCACGGUGAAUACGUUCCCGGGCCUUGUACACACCGCCCGUCACACCAUGGGAGUGGGUUGCAAAAGAAGUAGGUAGCUUAACCUUCGGGAGGGCGCUUACCACUUUGUGAUUCAUGACUGGGGUGAAGUCGCAACAAGGUA